AGCAUCAAAGUUUUCUGUGGGUUUUUUAUUUUUCCAAUCUUGUUGCAAAAUAUAUUGUUUGAUUGGGUAGAGCCUGAUCACAUUGUAACUUGUGUUCUUGACCAUAGAUCGACCUUCGGGGUAAGGUCUACAGAACUAUCUAGUGUUGAUUUAGUUCUCACGGCGUAAGUGAAACUAUAUAAAAAUGUGUGCGCUUUGCUUAUAUUUGUUUCUUUUAUUGCUCUUGAUGCCUAUAUUUUUGUCCUUGUUGCUAUUAUGAAUUGAACCGCAAUGUUAACAUGUUAUCAUUUCAAGGAAGUCGAGCCGCCUAACCUUAAAAGCAAAGGCUUAUGUCUCGUGCCAAUUUCGUUUACUGAUGGAGUUGCCAGUAGCAAUGGCGCCGAUAUUUGGGCUCCGAUAAAGACGAGUUCCCCGACUUCAAGAAGACCAAUAUCAGACGAAGCUUCAGUGAUAACUUACAGUUGAGGGAUGGUUUCAGCUUAGAUGGUCACAAAUGGGUUUUAACAAGUGGGUGGCAGUUUUUAGAUGUUGAAUCAUGUUCGCUAUUCUAGCAAGUUGCGAACAUUUCUUAUGAUACGAGGUGCCAAUGUUUGUACAUAACGAAGUUGUAAAUUGAUAAUAACUUCCAUUAGUCAUAUUCCAAUGUGAUGAAGAAUCACAUUUCAACUUCAGUGAGAAAAAUAAAGCCUUGUAGCUGGAGAUUAUCUCCAUUUUGAAAUCAUCAUCCUUAGCAUGCUAUUAUAUGAACAAUUUAAAGGGCUUAUUGACACGAAACAAUAGAGUAAAUGAUGAUGGAGAAUAAAAGGAGACCCGUCUUCCUUGAUCAAAGCAGCCUCAUGGGUUUGACGCAAAAACGACCGAAGAUUGAGGUGCCUCUCUCUGCCAAGGUAUCUUCAAAUUUCUCUGUCUGUGAACAAAUUUCUGCUUACAUGUCUACUUUCUGCUUCUAUAUUUAUAAGGUAAAUAUGCCAUUAUCAAUCAGUUUUUCUGUUGUUCGGUAACUUGUAGAGUUCACAUAUUACUUCCAUGGCAUUGUUGAAGUUACCUCUCUCUGAUCUUUUAGUUUCUUCAAGAAAAGGCAUUCCAGUUCAUAAAUAUCACUCCAAUGCCUAAAUUAUGGACUAAUAGGCCCUCACAUUUUCUUCUUUGUCAUUUUUGAUCUUAGUGAUUUAUAGCUUUUAUAAGAUGUUGUGGGUCUUUACCACAUUGUCUCUGACGUGCUACUUUUCUUGGCAACAGGAAAAGAAAGAGAAGGUUAGCGAACGAAUUUCAGCUCUUCAACAACUUGUCUCACCGUAUGGAAAGGUACAUAUUGAAAUUUUAAAUUUUAUUAUUGCGAUGAAUUGAUUAGAACUUAGUUUACAUGUUUCUGAUUUAAUUUCAACUUUCUAUAGCUGAUUUUUUUUUUUUUUUUUUUUUUUUUUAUAAUUUCAACUUUCUAUUGCUGAAUUUUUUUUUUUUUUAUAUUCGACUACAGACAGAUACAGCAUCGGUUCUUCUAGAGGCAAUGGAAUACAUAAGAUUCCUUCAAGAGCAAGUUAAGGUGUGUCAUUUUCUUGAUUUAUUUCAUUCAGAUGUUCUUCAAGUUAUUUCAAAUCUUUGGAUUGCUAUGAACACUGUAGCCACUUUAAUUUCUUGGUUUGCUACCAUUUCGAAGACAAAGUAAACCAUACAAUUCUUGUUUGGAUGUUUGGAUAAUAAAUUGAAUCCGAUUCUUGGUCCUUUCAGGUAUUGAGUGCACCGUACUUGUAUAGCACACCGACGACUAAUACACAGGUUAGCAUCAAAAUUUUCUGUGGGUUUUUUAUUUUUUCAAUCUUGUUGCAAAAUAUCUUGUUUGAUUGGGUAGAGCCUAAUCACAUUGUAACUUGUGUUCUUGACCAUAGAUCGACCUUCGGGGUAAGGUCGACAGAACUAUCUAGUGUUGACGUAGUUCUCAUGGUGUAAGUAAAACUGUAUAAAAAUGUGUGCGCUUUGCUUAUAUUUGUUUCUUUUAUUGCUCUUGAUGCUAUAUUUUUGUCCUUGUUGCUAUUAUGAAUUGAACCGCAAUGUUAACAUGUUAUCAUUUCAAGGAAGUCAAGCCACCUAACCUUAAAAGCAAAGGCUUAUGUCUCGUGCCAAUUUCGUUUACUGAUGGAGUUGCC
rnacentral:lncRNA from 1 species